rnacentral:tRNA from 2 species
UAUAUUAUAGUAUAAUAAGUACAUAGAUUUUUGAUGUCUAAGGAUUAAGUUUUAUUCUGUAUAAUAUAU